rnacentral:lncRNA from 1 species
UCCCUGUGUUAGGGCUGCAUCCAGCCCUAGAGAGGAGUUCAGCCUUCCAUGGAGUUGGAGACGGCAGCAGCAGCACAGCAGCGGGCUCCCAUCCCUUUCUUCUCUUUUCUGAUUCCUCUCUCCCUUUCUCUCCUCCUUAUUUUUGUAUUUCUCUGGUACUCGGCCUCUAAGGAGAUGAUCUCCUGGGAUCCGUCUCAACCCCCUUUUAUAGCUUCACCAGCGAAGAGAUAAGGGUAGAGGAACGGCUGCCGCGUGCGUAGAGGAUGAAACCGACGCUGCUUCCACGCGGAGGAGAUGCGGACGAAAGCCUUGGACGCGGGAUGAAAUGCUUGAUUUUCGGAGAAGUUAAUCCUCUGUUCUGUUGGGAUGCAGGGAUUAAUCCGGAAGGAGCGUUUGAAGAAGCUGGGAGGUUGAAAACGGACGUGAUUGAAGCGGACGGCUGGAAUGCGGAGAUGCUCGCGCGGAAGCUUGGUCGCCGAUGCUGAAAUCACGGGAUGGUUGGGCUUUGGAGAUCAACACGCGGACGGCUGGAGGCUCUGGGAUGCGAACGGAUGAGCUCGGACGGGAGCUGGGAAAUCGCCACGAGAUGCGGAAGAGGCUGGCUCGCGGAUGCAAUAUGGCUUCACAAGCGGAGAAGACGGAUUGAAGCGGACGGCUGCAGGAUGUUGGGAGGUUGGGAGGCGAACGGAUCCUGAGUUUUGUUGGCGAUGAAGACGGGAUGGAACGGGAUGAAUGCGAACAGGGGAUUUGAGCUCAUCCGUGGAUGAAACGGUUGAAGCUGGGAUUUCGGUUGAAGGUUCCGGUUGGAUGCGGGAAGGGAUAAGGAUGAUGGGAAGAUAUGCAGAGGAGAGGAUUUGGGAGCGAAUGCAUGGGAUAGAGAUGAGUUGAUCUUGUGAACGCGUUCUGGUCGUGGAGAAGAUCUCGGCUGCUAGCUGGGAGAAGUGGUUUGGUGGAAGAAGUUGGGAGAUGGUGAUCCGGAAACAGGGGAGAUGAACUGCAUUCGGCUGAGAAGGAGGUCGGAUGAAUCGGGAGAAGGAAGAUCCUGGGAACAAAGAAGAUGCGUACGGUUGCUGGUUUUGGUUCGGAUGACACGGAGAGAACGCGGAGAAGAUCUGGGAAGUUGGGAGAUUAUCUCGGACGCGGAGGAGAGAAGACGCUGGAGGAAAUGGGUUUGUUUUGAAACAGGGGAAGUAAUCUGAGAUGAUGGAGUUGAGAUCGGGAGGUUGGUCACGGUUGGCUGGGAGCGUGAACAGAGAAUGGAUUGGACCACGGAAAGCUGGAAC